UACGUAGGGGGCAAGCGUUGUCCGGAAUCAUUGGGCGUAAAGAGCGUGUAGGCGGCCCGAUAAGUCCGCCGUGAAAGUCCAGGGCUCAACCCUGGAAUGCCGGUGGAAACUGUCGGGCUGGAGUCCGGAAGAGGCGAGUGGAAUUCCUGGUGUAGCGGUGAAAUGCGCAGAUAUCAGGAGGAACACCAAUGGCGAAGGCAGCUCGCUGGGACGGUACUGACGCUGAGGCGCGACAGCGUGGGGAGCAAACAGG
rnacentral:rRNA from 1 species